rnacentral:sRNA from 1 species
ACAGCUGCCCAGCCUGUGGAGACGGGACAGCCCUGUCCCACUCACUCUUUCCCCUGCUGCUCCUGCCGGCAGCUCAGCUCGAACCAUGGGAGGCCGCGUCUUUCUCGCAUUCUGUGUCUGGCUGACUCUGCCGGGAGCUGAAACCCAGGACUCCCGGGGCUGUGCCCGGUGGUGCCCUCAGAACUCCUCGUGUGUCAAUGCCACCGCCUGUCGCUGCAAUCCAGGGUUCAGCUCUUUUUCUGAGAUCAUCACCACCCCCACGGAGACUUGUGAUGACAUCAACGAGUGUGCAACACCGUCGAAAGUGUCAUGCGGAAGAUUCUCGGACUGCUGGAACACAGAGGGGAGCUACGACUGCGUGUGCAGCCCAGGAUAUGAGCCUGUUUCUGGGGCAAAAACAUUCAAGAAUGAGAGCGAGAACACGUGUCAAGCUCAUCAUGGCACCCUGUCCAGAAAUGAAGGAGGAGGGAGAUUUGAAGGCAGGGCCACUGUCCCCAGUCGAACCUGCCACUGGCCAACAACCCCACCUGGAGAAGAUGCCUCGUGGAGCCCUGACCUCUUUUUCUGC